CCCUUAGAUGUUCUGGGCCGCACGCGUGCUACACUGAGUGGAUCAGCGGGUCAGGUUGCGCGAAAGCGUUUCCUAAUCUUUAAAUCCGCUCGUGAUGGGGAUUGACGGUUGCAAUUUUCUGUCAUGAACGAGGAAUACCUUGUAAGCGCGGGUCAUCAUCCCGCGCUGAAUACGUCCCUGCCCUUUGUACACACCGCCCGUCGCUCCUACCGAUUGAGUGGUCCGGUGAGCCAUUCGGACCUUCAUCAUGCCGGUUUCCGGUUUUGAUGAGGGAAAGUCUUGCGAACCUUAUCAUUUAGAGGAAGGAGAAGUCGUAACA
rnacentral:rRNA from 1 species